AGUCGCGUGGCCUAAUGGUCAUGGCGUCUCGCUCACAAUACGGUCCGAGAAGGUUCCCGGUUCGAUCCCGGGCGCGACUA
rfam:Penicillium polonicum strain IBT 4502 PENPOL_contig006, whole genome shotgun sequence.